UACGGAGGGUGCAAGCGUUGUCCGGAUUCAUUGGGUUUAAAGGGUGCGCAGGCGGGAGGUUAAGUCAGGGGUGAAAGACGGUUGCUCAACAAUCGCAGUGCCCUUGAUACUGGUUUUCUUGGGUGACCUUGAGGUAGGCGGAAUGGGUGGUGUAGCGGUGAAAUGCAUAGAUACCACCCAGAACUCCGAUUGCGAAGGCAGCCUACUGGAGGUUAACCGACGCUCAGGCACGAAAGCGUGGGGAUCAAACAGG
rnacentral:rRNA from 1 species